rnacentral:rRNA from 1 species
AGGACGAACGCUGGCGGCGUGCUUAACACAUGCAAGUCGAACGGUAAGGCCCCUUCGGGGGUACACGAGUGGCGAACGGGUGAGUAACACGUGGGUAAUCUGCCCUGCACUUCGGGAUAAGCCUGGGAAACUGGGUCUAAUACCGGAUAUGAACUCCUGCCGCAUGGUGGGGGUUGGAAAGUUUUUCGGUGCAGGAUGAGCCCGCGGCCUAUCAGCUUGUUGGUGGGGUAAUGGCCUACCAAGGCGACGACGGGUAGCCGGCCUGAGAGGGUGAUCGGCCACACUGGGACUGAGACACGGCCCAGACUCCUACGGGAGCAGCAGUGGGGAAUAUUGCACAAUGGGCGAAAGCCUGAUGCAGCGACGCCGCGUGGGGGAUGGACGGUCUUCGGAUUGUAAACCCCUUUCAGUAGGGACGAAGCGCAAGUGACGGUACCUGCAGAAGAAGCACCGGCUAACACGUGCCAGCAGCCGC